AGAGUUUGAUUCUGGCUCAGAACGAACGCUGGCAGCGUGGAUUAGGCAUGCAAGUCGAACGGGAAGCCGUUGAUCAAUUCUUCGGAAGAGUGAUUCGGUGGAGAGUGGCGGAAGGGUGAGUAACGCGUGGGCAAUCUACCUCCAAGUUGGGGAUAAUUCCGCGAAAGCGGGACUAAUACCGAAUGUGGUCGUAUGUCGCAUGGCAGACUGACUAAAGGUGGGGAUCCUUCGGGACCUGCCGCUGGGAGAGGAGCCCGCGUGCCAUCAGCUUGUUGGUGAGGUAACGGCCCACCAAGGCUUACGGCUAGCUGGUCUGAGAGGAUGAUCAGCCACACUGGGACUGAGACACUGCCCAGACUCCUACGGGAGGCUGCAGUCGAGGAUCAUUGUCAAUGCGCGGAAGCGUGAACAUGCGACGCUGCGUGGAGGAUGACGGCUUUCGGGUUGUAAACUCCUGUCAUGAGGGAAAAACGAUCCUGCAAUCAAUAUCUGCGGGAAGUGAUGGUACCUCAAGAGGAAGCCACGGCCAACUCUGUGCCAGCAGCCGCGGUAAUACAGAGGUGGCGAGCGUUGUUCGGAUUUACUGGGCGUAAAGGGUGCGUAGUCGGCUUCGUGUGUCGGAUGUGAAAUCCCACGGCCCAACCGUGGAACUGUGUUCGAAACUGCGGAGAUAGAGUGCAGGAGAGGAGAGCGGAAUUCUUGGUGUAGCGGUGAAAUGCGUUGAUAUCAAGAAGAACACCGGUGGCGAAAGCGGCUCUCUGGAAUGUUACUGACGCUGAGGCACGAAAGCUGGGGGAGCGAACAGGAUUAGAUACCCUGGUAGUCCCAGCUGUAAACGGUGUGCACUUGGUGUGGGAGGUAUUGACCCCUUCCGUGCCGGAGCUAACGCGUUAAGUGCACCGCCUGGGGAGUACGGCCGCAAGGCUAAAACUCAAAGAAAUUGACGGGGGCCCGCACAAGCGGAGGAGCAUGUGGCUUAAUUCGAUGCAACGCGAAGAACCUUACCAGGGCUUGACAUCUACCUGCAUGCCCCCUGAAAGGGGGGAGGCCUUCGAGGGUGGUAGACAGGUGCUGCAUGGCUGUCGUCAGUUCGUGCCGUGAGGUGUUGGGUUAAGUCCCGCAACGAACGCAACCCUUGUGGUUAGUUGCAACUGCAGGUGAUAAGCCUGCGGGCACUCUAGCCAGACUGCCUGUACAAGCAGGAGGAAGGUGGGGAUGACGUCAAGUCAGUAUGGCCCUUACGCCAUGGGCUGCACACGUGCUACAAUGGUCGGUACAGAAGGAUGCAAUACCGCGAGGUGGAGCUAAUCCCCAAAACCGGCCCCAGUUCGGAUUGGAGUCUGAAACUUGACUCCAUGAAGCCGGAUUCGCUAGUAACGGCGUAUCAGCUACGGCGCCGUGAAUACGUUCCCGGGCCUUGUACACACCGCCCGUCACAUCAUGAAAGCCGUCUGCACCCGAAGUCGCUGAGCCAAUCCCGCCCUCGGGCGGGAAGGCAGGCGCCGAAGGUGUGGGUGGUGAUUGGGAUGAAGUCGUAACAAGGUA
rnacentral:rRNA from 1 species